GCAGGUCUUCAGGGCGGGGUGGAAUUCCCCACCGGCGGUAGGCGGCGCAUGGAGGUUUUCUUGCACCGCGAGCCCGCGAGCGCCCCGGUUGCCAUCAGUGCAACCGGGGGUCAGCAGACCCGGUGCGGGGCGGCGCAGGCCACUCCCAGUCCGGGGCCGACGGUCAUAGUCCGGAUGAAAGAAGACGUGC
rnacentral:ncRNA from 2 species